rnacentral:rRNA from 1 species
AGGAAUAUUGGUCAAUGGACGAGAGUCUGAACCAGCCAAGUAGCGUGAAGGAUGACUGCCCUAUGGGUUGUAAACUUCUUUUAUACGGGAAUAAAGUGAGGCACGUGUGCCUUUUUGUAUGUACCGUAUGAAUAAGGAUCGGCUAACUCCGUGCCAGCAGCCGCGGUAAUACGGAGGAUCCGAGCGUUAUCCGGAUUUAUUGGGUUUAAAGGGAGCGUAGAUGGAUGUUUAAGUCAGUUGUGAAAGUUUGCGGCUCAACCGUAAAAUUGCAGUUGAUACUGGAUAUCUUGAGUGCAGUUGAGGCAGGCGGAAUUCGUGGUGUAGCGGUGAAAUGCUUAGAUAUCACGAAGAACUCCGAUUGCGAAGGCAGCCUGCUAAGCUGCAACUGACAUUGAGGCUCGAAAGUGUGGGUAUCAAACAGGAUUAGAUACCCUGGUAGUCCACACGGUAAACGAUGAAUACUCGCUGUUUGCGAUAUACAGCAAGCGGCCAAGCGAAAGCGUUAAGUAUUCCACCUGGGGAGUACGCCGGCAACGGUGAAACUCAAAGGAAUUGACGGGGGCCCGCACAAGCGGAGGAACAUGUGGUUUAAUUCGAUGAUACGCGAGGAACCUUACCCGGGCUUAAAUUGCAGAUGAAUUACGGUGAAAGCCGUAAGCCGCAAGGCAUCUGUGAAGGUGCUGCAUGGUUGUCGUCAGCUCGUGCCGUGAGGUGUCGGCUUAAGUGCCAUAACGAGCGCAACCCUUGUUGUCAGUUACUAACAGGUUCUGCUGAGGACUCUGACAAGACUGCCAUCGUAAAAUGUGAGGAAGGUGGGGAUGACGUCAAAUCAGCACGGCCCUUACGUCCGGGGCUACACACGUGUUACAAUGGGGGGUACAGAGGGCCGCUACCACGCGAGUGGAUGCCAAUCCCCAAAACCUCUCUCAGUUCGGACUGGAGUCUGCAACCCGACUCCACGAAGCUGGAUUCGCUAGUAAUCGCGCAUCAGCCACGGCGCGGUGAAUACGUUCCCG